rnacentral:rRNA from 1 species
AACGAACGCUGGCGGCAUGCCUAACACAUGCAAGUCGAACGAGACCUUCGGGUCUAGUUGCGCACGGGUGCGUAACGCGUGGGAACCUGCCCUUAGGUUCGGAAUAACUCCCCGAAAGGGGUGCUAAUACCGGAUAAUUUCUUCGGACCAAAGAUUUAUCGCCUUUGGAUGGGCCCGCGUUGGAUUAGCUAGUGGGUAGGGUAAAAGCCUACCAAGGCGACGAUCCAUAGCUGGUCUGAGAGGAUGAUCAGCCACACUGGGACUGAGACACGGCCCAGACUCCUACGGGAAGCAGCAGUGGGGAAUAUUGGACAAUGGGCGAAAGCCUGAUCCAGCAAUGCCGCGUGAGUGAUGAAGGCCUUAGGGUUGUAAAGCUCUUUUACCCGGGAUGAUAAUGACAGUACCGGGAGAAUAAGCUCCGGCUAACUCCGCG